rnacentral:rRNA from 1 species
UACGUAGGGUGCAAGCGUUAAUCGGAAUUACUGGGCGUAAAGCGUACGCAGGCGGCUUUGCAAGACAGGUGUGAAAUCCCCGGGCCUAACCUGGGAACUGCAUUUGUGACUGCAUGGCUAGAGUCUGUCAGAGGGGGGUGGAAUUCCACGUGUAGCAGUGAAAUGCGUAGAGAUGUGGAGGAACACCGAUGGCGAAGGCAGCCCCCUGGGAUGAGACUGACGCUCAUGUACGAAAGCGUGGGGAGCAAACAGGAUUAGAUACCCUGGUAGUCCACGCCCUAAACGAUGUCUACUAGUUGUCGGAGGGUAACUCCUUCGGUAACGCAGCUAACGCGUGAAGUAGACCGCCUGGGGAGUACGGUCGCAAGAUUAAA